CUUGAGCACAAGGUCACCUUCUCGGAACACACGAGGCUUGACCUUCUUGUUGAAUGCUUUUUCACUCUCUGCUGAUAUGACUGACCAUGACACAUGGCAGUUGAUCUUCUUCCUUUCCGAUCGAAUUCACUUGGUCGUAGUGACUCUGAAUCCAUUCAGCAUCAGUCAACUUGGGACUUUGAGGGUGCUAUUUCUCUUUUGUUUCUUUCUUUCUUUUUCUUUCUUUUGAUUUGGAUUUCUUUUGAUUUUGCACCCUCCUUUUUUUUUUAUGUGCCCCAGUUGGCUGUUCUGCCGAUUCUCGAGACGCAGCUGAGUGAUCUUCUUUUCUUGCUCAAGAAGCCGGGAAAUCUCGUCAGGAAUCCUUUCAACAUCAUCUUCUUCCGCUUCAAAUACAGGGAAUUCAAAAUUGGGAGAUAACGUCCGAUCAUUAGGUUCAAUGGGUUUAAGAAACAGCCUGCAUAAUGAUUUAGAGAUGAAAAGCUUU
rnacentral:lncRNA from 1 species